CGGGAACAAUCGAUAGCGUAGCUCAUCUCGUUGGGAAGAACGAGCACAGCUCCAACUUUCUUGAAAACAGGGUCUUCACUUGGCUUGUCAUCUGGGAAACU